AAGGAUGUUGCUCAAGAAGGGACAGGAGUGAAGUGUCCAGGCUCAUCAACAGUCUGUGUGCAAAGUUACAGAAAAUUUCUUCUCACAGCCUUUGAGAGAGAAAAUUCUAUGGCCUUCAGACUUGGAUUAGAACUACACCACCGGCUCUCCAGGAUCUGCAGCUUGUAGAUGGCAGAUUGUGGACAUUCUCAGCCUUCAUAAUCAUCUACAUGUUGCAGAUGAUCCUAUGGGGAGGCCCAUGUGGCAGAGAACUAAAGGAGGCCUCUGGCCAGCAGCCAGUGAAGAGCUCAGGCACUCUGUUAAAAGCCCAUGAAGAAUGGAAUCCCGACAAAAAUCUCUUGAGUAAACUUAGAAUAAGAUCCAUCCCCAGUCAAGCCUGAAGAUGAGACUGCAGCCCAGCCAGCACCUUGAUUAGGCCUUGUUAGGGACCAGAGAACUCAGCUAAGCCAUGCCUAGAUUCUUGAUGCACAGAAACUGUGAGAUAAUGACUAUGGGUUAGUUUAAGUCACUAAUUUGGAGAGAGUAAUUUAUUAAACAGUAAUAAAUAACUAGUACAGCAAUGUUCCUACACAUAUACAUCUAUAGAACUUAGGAAAUCCACAAUAAAAUAACCAACUCAACAAUGGAAGUUACAGUUUUGAAGAAUGACCAUCCAUCAAGAUGGGGCAAGCAACCAGAAGAAAAUUUUUACAAUUAUCCAUUUUUGAAACUUGAAAUUUAUGUACUUCCUUGUUUGAUGAUGCAUUAGCAUGAAGUGCUUACCAUAAUAAAAGGUUUUCCAUCAUGAUGUAGAAUAUUUUUUAAAAUCAUUGGAGGCAGCAGAGGAAGUAGACUUUCACAUUCAGUGAUGACUUAGGACUGUCCUUUGUAUUCAAUCAUAAAGCUUUU
rnacentral:lncRNA from 1 species